rnacentral:rRNA from 1 species
UACAGAGGUCUCAAGCGUUGUUCGGAUUCAUUGGGCGUAAAGGGUGCGUAGGCGGCGCUGUAAGUCGGGUGUGAAAUUUCGGAGCUUAACUCCGAAACUGCAUUCGAUACUGCGGUGCUUGAGGACUGGAGAGGAGACUGGAAUUCAUGGUGUAGCAGUGAAAUGCGUAGAUAUCAUGAGGAACACCAAUGGCGAAGGCAGCUCUCUGGACAGUUCCUGACACUGAGACACGAAA